rnacentral:rRNA from 1 species
UACGUAGGAUGCAAGCGUUGUCCGGAUUUACUGGGCGUAAAGCGCGCGCAGGCGGCACAUUAAGUAAGGUGUGAAAUAUCCCGGCUCAACCGGGAGGGUGCACUUUAGACUGAUGAGCUUGAGGUCGGUAGAGGGGGGUGGAAUUGCUGGUGUAGCAGUGAAAUGCGUAGAGAUCAGCAGGAACACCCGUGGCGAAGGCGGCCCCCUGGGCCGUACCUGACGCUGAGGCGCGAAGGCUAGGGGAGCGAACGGG